UACGGGGGGGGCAAGCGUUGUUCGGAAUUACUGGGCGUAAAGGGUUUGUAGGUGGCCAACUAAGUCAGACGUGAAAUCCCUCAGCUUAACUGGGGAACUGCGUCUGAUACUGGUUGGCUUGGGUGCAGGAGAGGAAUGCGGAAUUCCAGGUGUAGCGGUGAAAUGCGUAGAUAUCUGGAGGAACACCGGUGGCGAAGGCGGCAUUCUGGACUGCAACUGACACUGAAGAACGAAAGCCAGGGGAGCAAACGGG
rnacentral:rRNA from 1 species